ACGGGUGAGUAAUGUCUGGGGAUCUGCCCGAUAGAGGGGGAUAACCACUGGAAACUGUGGCUAAUACCGCAUAACGUCGCAAGACCAAAGAGGGGGACCUUCGGGCCUCUCACUAUCGGAUGAACCCAGAUGGGAUUAGCUAGUAGGCGGGGUAACGGCCCACCUAGGCGACGAUCCCUAGCUGGUCUGAGAGGAUGGCCAGCCACACUGGAACUGAGACACGGUCCAGACUCCUACGGGAGGCAGCAGUGGGGAAUAUUGCACAAUGGGCGCAAGCCUGAUGCAGCCAUGCCGCGUGUAUGAAGAAGGCCUUCGGGUUGUAAAGUACUUUCAGCGGGGAGGAAGGCGAUAAGGUUAAUAACCUUGUCGAUUGACGUUACCCGCAGAAGAAGCACCGGCUAACUCCGUGCCAGCAGCCGCGGUAAUACGGAGGGUGCAAGCGUUAAUCGGAAUUACUGGGCGUAAAGCGCACGCAGGCGGUCUGUUAAGUCAGAUGUGAAAUCCCCGGGCUUAACCUGGGAACUGCAUUUGAAACUGGCAGGCUUGAGUCUCGUAGAGGGGGGUAGAAUUCCAGGUGUA
rnacentral:rRNA from 1 species